AUAACACUGGAAGUCUCUCUCUCGUUCCCCUUCGUCUAUCUCCCUCCCUGCUCUCCUCACCUACCUCUAUUCUUCCCGUGCGAUCGAUCCCCUUCCUAGGGUUCAUCGGUCGUCACACCGCCUCCCACAUCCGUUGGAGGAGCUCUUCGCGGAGGACGAGCCACUCGCCCGGCUGUACAUCGACGACGCCGACGACUGCUUCGAGCCCAUAGGGACAGCAGUCCGUCCCCACCUACGUCUCCUCGUGCGCCUCCGCCUGCGGACGCGCCGGCUCCUGCCGGGUUCGUCAACGACGACGUCGGGCGCAUCGCCUGCCCGCGCGCAUCACGGGGCACCGAUGCGGGCAGGCGGUGGUUCCCGAUCUCGCAGGCUCCCGCCGGCUCCCCUCGCCGCAUGUCAAGGCCGGCGUCGGUGAUCUUCACCGACCCGGAUCCAACACGGGGGCGUAACGAGCUGGCCCCACCCAGCCCGCCCCGAGACGCCCUGCCGCUCCACCUCGCUCCUCUCCUCCCCCCGGGCUGGGGUCGCCCGGGCUGCGGCAGGUGCACAACUACAGCGCCAACUGAACUACACCCUGUGCCUAGUUCGCGACGAGGGUCCCUUACAGCACGAGAGUUCGGAGCACUACGUUUGGCGAAGGUCCUGCGACGUGUCAGUUGAGUUCGAGCGCCUUUGGUCAAUCUACCAAAGAAAAGCCAAGAAAAAAUAGAUCUCAUGAAGGGGGGCGUAAAUCAGGUUGAGCGGGUGGCCAUGGAGAUCUUCAAGGCGACGCGCGGCUGGGCAACUGGAGUUCCAAGACUUGGUGGUCCCUAGAUCGACUACGCUGAUGCCUGAUCUUCUCUGCGCUUGCUACUAGCCUUCCUGCCUUCUCUCGUCUUCCUAUCCUAAUCAAAAGGCUGUAACUAUGCAAUUUGCCCCUGUGUGUGGCUUUGAAUGAUGUAAUAGCUAGCGAUGUUUCCUAGAGUCUAGUUUGCGUGAUCUU